rnacentral:rRNA from 1 species
AUUGAACGCUGGCGGCAUGCCUUACACAUGCAAGUCGAACGGUAGAGCAGCAAUGCUUGAGAGUGGCGAACGGGUGAGUAAUAUAUCGNGAACGUGCCCAGUCGUGGGGGAUAACGUAGAGAUAUUUACGCUAAUACCGCAUACGAUCUAAGGAUGAAAGCGGGGGACUCGCAAGAGCCUCGCGCGAUUGGAGCGGCUGAUAUCAGAUUAGGUUGUUGGUGAGGUAAAAGCUCACCAAGCCGACGAUCUGUAGCUGGUUUGAGAGAACGACCAGCCACACUGGGACUGAGACACGGNCCAGACUC